UACGAAGGGGGCGAGCGUUAUUCGGAAUCACUGGGCGUAAAGCGUGCGUAGGCUGCUCGGAAAGUUGGGAGUGAAAGCCCAGGGCUCAACCCUGGAAUUGCUCUCAAAACUACCGGGCUCGGAUUCGGGAGAGGAUAGCGGAAUUGUCAGUGUAGCAGUGAAAUGCGUAGAUAUUGACAGGAACACCAGUGGCGCAAGCGGCUAUCUGGACCGACAUCGACGCUGAGGCACGAAAGCGUGGGGAUCAAAC
rnacentral:rRNA from 1 species